GGGGAUUCUGUUGGAAAGAAAUGUUACACUGAUUCUAAUCUCUGACUAAAAAGAUAAUUUCUGAUGGGUACAUGGAGAACUAUGUAAUUCCUAGGGGAUUUUUUUUAUUUGUUAAUAACUUUUUAUGAUUAUUAUUAUCAUCAUUAUUGUUAUUAUAGCAUCCAAAACAUCUGUGUGCUCUGGCAGAAGCAUCUUUCUGUGGUGUCUGUUGUCUCCGGGUCCCUGCAGCUGAGGUGAGUGGCAGUGUUUGGCACUGCCCUGCCCUCGGGGGCUCCUGCCGAGCACACAGCAGCAGCCAGAGCUCCUGUGCCUCCUCAGCUAGAGGCUGGUACCCACCCCAGGCCAGUGAUGAAGCUAUAGGUCAGACCCUUCCAGAGCCACCAAAAUACAGACCUCAUUCUGCCCAACACAUCAUUUUCUUCCCAAAGCAAUAAGAUCUUUGCAGCUCUCCACUAAAUAUACUUUCUUCUUGUUUUGACAGAGGAAGAGCCUGAGGCUGGAGCUUGCUGAGAACACCAUGUGGAAAUGAACAUGCAGAUCCUGAAUGCUGAACACUGGCUUAUCUCGAAAACAGUACAUGUUUGAACAUGGAGUAAAACCCCUUGCAAACUCCCUGUGUUGAUGUCCUUAGAGAGAUGUGACUUCUUUGGCUGAUCCAGGGGAAGCAGAAACCAGGACAAGAAGACAAGCCAAAGAUAAAAGGAUACAAUACUUUGGAUGAACCUUGCCUCACAUGGUUGUAAAAUCAGCAGAGUGCUGGAACACCUCUCAUUUUGUGUGGAGAGAUUCAGUCCUAUACCUGAUGGGAAGGAAGGGAGGAGAGAAUGCUGACUAGA